UGGCGGCGUGCCUAAUACAUGCAAGUCGUACGCUUCUUUUUCCACCGGAGCUUGCUCCACCGGAAAAAGAAGAGUGGCGAACGGGUGAGUAACACGUGGGUAACCUGCCCAUCAGAAGGGGAUAACACUUGGAAACAGGUGCUAAUACCGUAUAACAAUCGAAACCGCAUGGUUUUGAUUUGAAAGGCGCUUUCGGGUGUCGCUGAUGGAUGGACCCGCGGUGCAUUAGCUAGUUGGUGAGGUAACGGCUCACCAAGGCCACGAUGCAUAGCCGACCUGAGAGGGUGAUCGGCCACAUUGGGACUGAGACACGGCCCAAACUCCUACGGGAGGCAGCAGUAGGGAAUCUUCGGCAAUGGACGAAAGUCUGACCGAGCAACGCCGCGUGAGUGAAGAAGGUUUUCGGAUCGUAAAACUCUGUUGUUAGAGAAGAACAAGGAUGAGAGUAACUGUUCAUCCCUUGACGGUAUCUAACCAGAAAGCCACGGCUAACUACGUGCCAGCAGCCGCGGUAAUACGUAGGUGGCAAGCGUUGUCCGGAUUUAUUGGGCGUAAAGCGAGCGCAGGCGGUUUCUUAAGUCUGAUGUGAAAGCCCCCGGCUCAACCGGGGAGGGUCAUUGGAAACUGGGAGACUUGAGUGCAGAAGAGGAGAGUGGAAUUCCAUGUGUAGCGGUGAAAUGCGUAGAUAUAUGGAGGAACACCAGUGGCGAAGGCGGCUCUCUGGUCUGUAACUGACGCUGAGGCUCGAAAGCGUGGGGAGCAAACAGGAUUAGAUACCCUGGUAGUCCACGCCGUAAACGAUGAGUGCUAAGUGUUGGAGGGUUUCCGCCCUUCAGUGCUGCAGCUAACGCAUUAAGCACUCCGCCUGGGGAGUACGACCGCAAGGUUGAAACUCAAAGGAAUUGACGGGGGCCCGCACAAGCGGUGGAGCAUGUGGUUUAAUUCGAAGCAACGCGAAGAACCUUACCAGGUCUUGACAUCCUUUGACCACUCUAGAGAUAGAGCUUCCCCUUCGGGGGCAAAGUGACAGGUGGUGCAUGGUUGUCGUCAGCUCGUGUCGUGAGAUGUUGGGUUAAGUCCCGCAACGAGCGCAACCCUUAUUGUUAGUUGCCAUCAUUUAGUUGGGCACUCUAGCAAGACUGCCGGUGACAAACCGGAGGAAGGUGGGGAUGACGUCAAAUCAUCAUGCCCCUUAUGACCUGGGCUACACACGUGCUACAAUGGGAAGUACAACGAGUCGCGAAGUCGCGAGGCUAAGCUAAUCUCUUAAAGCUUCUCUCAGUUCGGAUUGUAGGCUGCAACUCGCCUACAUGAAGCCGGAAUCGCUAGUAAUCGCGGAUCAGCACGCCGCGGUGAAUACGUUCCCGGGCCUUGUACACACCGCCCGUCACACCACGAGAGUUUGUAACACCCGAAGUCGGUGAGGUAACCUUUUGGAGCCAGCCGCCUAAGGUGGGAUAGAUGAUUGGGGUGAAG
rnacentral:rRNA from 1 species